GUGUAUUUCCGCCUGGGCUCUUCGUGUGAAAGAUUACGGGGGGGUGUGUUAGCAUCCCCUGGUGCCUUGAAGGUGUGUCAUUAUAGGUGUUAUAUCUCGUUAAGAUUUGUAUGUGUGUGAGAGUGUGGAGGGGUGUUUUAGUUUGUGUAAGCGGGCAGGAUGGUUCAUGCUUAAAUGGGGUGUAAUAUUUUGGUGACGUGUAGUGUGGCGUAGUGUGUUGCGUAGGACUAUGGGGGCAGGGGGCGUGGAUUCUCCUGGGUUCCCCUCGGACGCGGUGGAGGUGUGUCGCAUGU